rnacentral:rRNA from 1 species
GACGAACGCUGGCGGCGUGCCUAAUACAUGCAAGUCGAACGCAGUGGGGACGGGUGAGUAACACGUGGGUAACCUCCCAUCAGAGGGGAUAACACUUGGAAACAGGUGCUAAACCGAUACUGAUGGAUGGCCCCGCGGUGCAUUAGCUAGGUGGUGAGGUAACGGCUCACCAAGGCCACGAUGCAUAGGCGACCUGAAAGGGUGAUCGGGCAGCCUGGGAGUGAGGUUCGGCCCAGACUCCUACGGGAGGCAGCAGUAGGGAAUCGUCGGCAAUGGACGAAAGGCUGACCGAGCACAGCCGCGUGAGUGAAGAUGGUUUUCGGAUCGUAAAACUCUGUUGUUAGAGAAGCGGUAUCUAACCAGAAAGCCACGGCUAACUACGUGCCAGCAGCCGCGGUAAUUC